rnacentral:rRNA from 1 species
UACGGAGGGAGCUAGCGUUGUUCGGAAUUACUGGGCGUAAAGCGCGCGUAGGCGGCUUUGUAAGUUAGAGGUGAAAGCCCGGGGCUCAACCCCGGAAUUGCCUUUAAGACUGCAUCGCUUGAAUCCGGGAGAGGUGAGUGGAAUUCCGAGUGUAGAGGUGAAAUUCGUAGAUAUUCGGAAGAACACCAGUGGCGAAGGCGGCUCACUGGACCGGCAUUGACGCUGAGACGCGAAAGCGUGGGGAGCGAACAGG